rnacentral:rRNA from 1 species
CCUACGGGAGGCUGCAGUCGAGAAUCAUUCACAAUGGGGGAAACCCUGAUGGUGCGACGCCGCGUGGGGGAAUGAAGGUCUUCGGAUUGUAAACCCCUGUCAUGUGGGAGCAAAUUAAAAAGAUAGUACCACAAGAGGAAGAGACGGCUAACUCUGUGCCAGCAGCCGCGGUAAUACAGAGGUCUCAAGCGUUGUUCGGAAUCACUGGGCGUAACGCGUGCGUAGGCUGUUUCGUAGGUCGUGUGUGAAAGGCGCGGGCUCAACCCGCGGACGGCACAUGAUACUGCGAGACUAGAGUAAUGGAGGGGGAACCGGAAUUCUCGGUGUAGCAGUGAAAUGCGUAGAUAUCGAGAGGAACACUCGUGGCGAAGGCGGGUUCCUGGACAUUAACUGACGCUGAGGCACGAAGGCCAGGGGAGCGAAAGGGAUUAGAUACCCCAGUAGUC